AACAGUGGCUUCUGCCAUGAGCGGCACACACAGGGCAACUUGCUCGCUUUGAGUGUGGAAUCGACAUCAAGAGAUUUCGGAAGAGUAAUUUUUUGGUAUUUGGGCAGCUGGUGAUUGUUGGUCCUGGCGCCCUU
ensembl:snRNA